GACGAACGCUGGCGGCGUGCUUAUCACAUGCAAGUCGAACGGAAAGGCCCUGCUUUUGUGGGGUGCUCGAGUGGCGAACGGGUGAGUAACACGUGAGUAACCUGCCCUUGACUUUGGGAUAACUUCAGGAAACUGGGGCUAAUACCGGAUAGGAGCUCCUGCUGCAUGGUGGGGGUUGGAAAGUUUCGGCGGUUGGGGAUGGACUCGCGGCUUAUCAGCUUGUUGGUGGGGUAGUGGCUUACCAAGGCUUUGACGGGUAGCCGGCCUGAGAGGGUGACCGGCCACAUUGGGACUGAGAUACGGCCCAGACUCCUACGGGAGGCAGCAGUGGGGAAUAUUGCACAAUGGGCGGAAGCCUGAUGCAGCAACGCCGCGUGCGGGAUGACGGCCUUCGGGUUGUAAACCGCUUUCGCCUGUGACGAAGCGUGAGUGGCGGUAAUGGGUAAAGAAGCACCGGCUAACUACGUG
rnacentral:rRNA from 1 species